CUCGAGGCCAGAUCUUUCCGGUUGAUCCUGCCGGACCUGACUGCUAUCGGAUUGAUACUAAGCCAUGUGAGUCAUUGUAGCAAUACAAGGCAGACGGCUCAGUAACACGUAGCCAACCUACCCUAUGGACGGGGAUAACCUCGGGAAACUGAGGAUAAACCCCGAUAGAUCAUUAAUCCUGGAACGGUUUAUGGUCCAAACGAUUCGUCGCCGUAGGAUGGGACUGCGGCCUAUCAGCUUGUUGGUGAGGUAAUGGCCCACCAAGGCUAUUACAGGUACGGGCUCUGAGAGGAGAGGCCCGGAGAUGGGUACUGAGACACGGACCCAGGCCCUAUGGGGCGCAGCAGGCGAGAAACCUUUGCAAUGUGCGCAAGCACGACAAGGUUAAUCCGAGUGUUUCCUGCUAAAGGAAUCUUUUGUUAGUCCUAAAAACACUAGUGAAUAAGGGGUGGGCAAGUUCUGGUGUCAGCCGCCGCGGUAAAACCAGCACCUCAAGUGGUCAGGAGGAUUAUUGGGCCUAAAGCAUCCGUAGCCUGCUCUAUAAGUUUCCGGUUAAA
rnacentral:rRNA from 1 species